rnacentral:rRNA from 1 species
GACGAACGCUGGCGGCGUGCCUAAUACAUGCAAGUUGAGCGCUGAAGGUUGGUACUUGUACCAACUGGAUGAGCAGCGAACGGGUGAGUAACGCGUGGGGAAUCUGCCUUUGAGCGGGGGACAACAUUUGGAAACGAAUGCUAGUACCGCAUAAAAACUUUAAACACAAGUUUUAAGUUUGAAAGAUGCAAUUGCAUCACUCAAAGAUGAUCCCGCGUUGUAUUAGCUAGUUGGUGAGGUAAAGGCUCACCAAGGCGAUGAUACAUAGCCGACCUGAGAGGGUGAUCGGCCACAUUGGGACUGAGACACGGCCCAAACUCCUACGGGAGGCAGCAGUAGGGAAUCUUCGGCGAUGGACGAAAGUCUGACCGAGCAACGCCGCGUGAGUGAAGAAGGUUUUCGGAUCGUAAAACUCUGUUGGUAGAGAAGAACGUUGGUGAGAGUGGAAAGCUCAUCAAGUGACGGUAACUACCCAGAAAGGGACGGCUAACUACGUG